rnacentral:rRNA from 1 species
UCCGAAGGGGGCUAGCGUUGUUCGGAAUUACUGGGCGUAAAGCGCGCGUAGGCGGCUUUGCAAGCCAGGGGUGAAAUGCCUGAGCUCAACUUGGGAAUUGCCUUUGGGACUGUGAGGCUUUGAGGACUGGAGAGGUGAGUGGAAUUCCCAGUGUAGAGGUGAAAUUCGUAGAUAUUGGGAAGAACACCGGUGGCGAAGGCGGCUCACUGGCCAGUUUCUGACGCUGCAGCGCGAAAGCGUGGGGAUAAAACAGG